CCCAGUUCGGAUUGUAGUCUGCAACCCGACUACAUGAAGCUGGAAUCGCUAGUAAUCGCAGGUCAGCAUACUGCGGUGAAUACGUUCCCGGGUCUUGUACACACCGCCCGUCACACCAUGGGAGCCGGAAAUGCCCGAAGCCAGUGACCCAACCUUAGGGAGGGAGCUGCCGAAGGUGGAGCCGGUAACUGGGGUGAAGUCGUAACAAGGUACC
rnacentral:rRNA from 1 species